GAAGAUCAAAUACAAUUUUCAGUAGUGUUUCCAUAGAACUUUUCAAAUGCGAAAAGGAAACCCAAGCUUUUUUUCAAAUUGAUUUUUUUGAGGAGCCUUGGAGAGAAAAAAAAAAAAGAAACCAGCAGAAGAGGAGCUGGAAGGAGGGAUGGCUGGUCUUUGAAGAAGAUUGAGAAGGAAGCAAUCUUUACUUUGGAGGAAGACUACUCAGGUAAGUUCACUAUAGACUCUUAGUUCUCCUCCAUAUCACUAUUCUUCUUCCUUCUUGGUUGCCUUUGGGUAUCAUUUGUUGCAUAUACCUGUGUAGUAGAGACCGCAUGCGGAAUCAUGUUGAUAUCUAGGUUGCUUGUGAACUUGAUGCUGAUUAUAUGUCUCUUGUUUCCUUGGUUUAGUGUGGGAAAAAUUUAAAGUAAUUUCAACUGCACUGCACCUUGGGACAUCAUAUUUCUAUUCUCAUUUUAAAUAUGGUCUUGGUUUCUUUCCUCACCAUUAUUAAGCACAUUGAUAACUCAUGAUAUGGUGCUUUGGUUUGAUGGGCUCGUAUGAUUUGUUUUUGUUAAUGGUACCUUUGUUCCCCUCCCUGUUUCUAGUAGAUUAGUUUGGGUUUAGGGUGAAGGGGAAGCUGGUUGUAUGGAUGCUGGUGCAGCUCAUUUAGGUGCUCACGUAGAGGAGAGUGGCUUGGAGUCAUCUAAUUUGUUUGGGUUUGGUAGUGUGGUUGAUUCAAAUAAUGAUGGUUACUGGGGAUAAAAAAAGUUAUGUCAGACUCCACAGUGAGUAAGAAUAGUGCAUCUGACGGUUUAGGGUUAAGGAAGUGCAGUGGAGCCCAUUUUAUGAUGGCUCGGUAGAGAAUGAGAAUAAUGGGUUUGGACCAUGUCCAGAUUUCCUUGCUGAGUUGGGAAUCCAUGUUGGAGAUCUUCCAGAGAAGGUGGAAGAUAAUGAAACUCAUUCGGAGAAGUCGAUUGUGGGUGCCAGAGCAGCAGAUAAUGCCUAAAUGAAAUGGCAAGCGAUAGUAGGGACUCAAAAGUGUGAUCUCAAUCUGGGUAUUUAUUGGAGACUAAAGCCGUUUCUAUGACAAGUGAGCAAGAGAAUAACAGUCAAGAGCUAGAAAUGGUUGGCCCUCUGAUAUUGUUUCAGAAAUGCACUCUCAGGAUAUUCGGCGUCUUAUGUGGACUUUGAUACAUUUGAAUUUAAUAGAGAAGAAUAAGAGGGAAGAUUUGGGCUUUUAACUGCUUAACCUCUUUCCAGAUAUUUCCCACUGUACAUAAUAGUUUCACAAUGCCUAAAAGAACAACAAACAAUGCUAAGAAUUAGGAAAACACAGCUACCGCAGUAAAGCUAAAGAUCAACACUUCAUGGACUUAUUAAACUGAACAAACAAACAAAACUAGACUAAGUCCAUCCACAUUUCCACUUUCAGGCUAGUGCAGUUGAAUAUGAAAAUCAGUUGCUUGGCAAGGCUCCGUGAAUGGUGGCACAUAUCAGACUUACAGAGCCUGAUAAUCCAAAUGAUUUAGUGAAUCUUGAUCUUGAACUGGUACUUCAUUGGGGUUCAGCUCUGUUCUCUGGUCGGCAUUGUAGAGGAAGGCUUUCUUUGUGGUGGAGAUUGGAUUACCAUGGAUGUGUCAGCUAGAGUUUUGGAUAUUUUGAAGUCCCAUCUGAUGGGGAACCCUAAAUUCAGCUGCUGAUUUUGCUUUACCAAGUGUCAUUGCCAGAGGAAGCAUAUAAUACGCUGGAUCUUAUCAUAUCUACUGUAGGAAAUUUGAACGAGACAGUGAUCUCAUUGGAAAGAGCCUUAGGAGUUUUUGAGUAAGAUGGAAACUCUGUAAGUAAAGGUAUUCUCAAAGGUGUAGAGCUCCUGUGAUGUCUGGGCAUGUGAUCUUAGAGAGCAAAUUUCAAACAAGAAGAGGACGAAGGAUUCUACAUUUGAUCUUUUUGUAUUUUCAGUUCAGUCUAGUGUUACCAUUGCUAAGUAUACAUACCAAUGGAUGGCACUUGCGCAGCAGGAUAAGAAAACAAAGACCCUCCUCCAUUGGUAGUCCUUGUUUUUGAGCCUGAGAUAACUUCUGGCUCUGUUAAAAACAUGAUGCAAUCAAGUCAACCAAUUGAAAAGAAUUCAAUCCUGAAAAAUAAUGUGGAGACCAUUUGCUCUGAUCCUCUCAUUUCCAGCCAAGUGGAUGAAGUUUCUAGUUGAAAAUCACCUGCUGGCAAUGAUGCUCUGGUUGACUUACCUGUGAAAGCUUCUAGCAUUCAGAUGGAUUCACCUUUGGUUCUGAAGACACUGCAGCUGAUGGUGAAUGAUGGUUUUAGGUGGGGGCAUGUCUUUGAAGGGCGCAUCCACAUGUGUGGAAGUUGGAUUCCUUAUUCUGCUAGAAUCCCUGAAUUUCUGCAAGGUUGGGCAUUUUUUGAAAUGUCUGAAAUGGCCAAUCUUCUGUUGGUGGGAGUCUGAGCAGACUUCAGCAAACAGAAAGUAAUGUGUGGCAUACUGCUGCUCUCAUUCAUUACAAUGCUGGUACGCUGCUAGACUCUUAACUAAUGGAGCAAACGUCCUGGAGCCAUGCAUGAGUCCCAAUCCUGAUGUUAACAGCCCAGAAUGAAGUUCCUGGUUGAGCACUGAAACCAUUUCCAGAGAGGCUUUAUGUUGUCCCUCCUAGAGUAGCUAAUGGGUUUGGGUUGCUUGAAAAUGAGAGGUAUGUGGUUACUGAAACAAAGGUUGUCAAACCUUUUCCUGAACGUUUGACAGCAAGGGCAAGGGUGGAUGAAUGCAAUUCCACUUUGUCAGAGGCUCUUAACAGCUCUAAUUUCAGUGGAAGAAAUAUGAAGAAUUCCAUUAUAAUGGAAAUGAACGCUUCAAACUUGAUGAGCAUGAAAAUGGUAUUGAACUGGAUUCGGAGAUGGAGCCCAAUAGUUUGAACCUCCAGUCUCUUGGAAAUUAUAAAAUUCCUGGGUGUCUUGCUUUUAACGGUCAUAGUAUUUCUGUUUCUGGAAGAUCACUUGAUAAUCUAGGUUUUUUUGGUGGUGACCAGAGUUCUGAUGCUUUUACUUAAUCAACUCUGGAGCCAGAAAGGAUGUUUAACCAGGGAUCUAGUGAUCUCAUUGCAUCAGUUGUGCAGCCCAAAUCAACAAUUGAACAAAUUUCUAACAAUUCAAGUUUAUCCUCAUCUCCAAAGUCUGUAUUACUAGAAAAGGUCCCAGUGGAUCAAUUUUCUUCAUGGAGUUUUAAUCCAAGGGUACACACAUCUGUCCAACAUACUGACAUGGAGGAUAAUUCAUUUGCAUGAAUUGCUGCCUCAAAAUUUUAAUCUGCCUAUGCCUCCAAAUGCUCAGUAUUUGAUGGGGGAUUCAGUUGGUCACUCAUCUAAUAAUAGUGAUAAUGAAGGUCAACAGAACCAUCCAAUCCUUCAGAGAAAACUUCAGAAGUCAACAUCAUUCUGAGCGAGAAUAAAGCAGAAGCAAGUCAGAUAAACAUAAAACAAACUUCAAAAUUUGUUAGACAUGGUGAAGAUGAUUCCCAAAGUUCCGUUGGAAAAUUUGCUGUUGUUGAACCAUCCGACACUAUUGAGGUAACUAAUUCAGUAACCAUCCAAGAUAAUGAACACAACAUCUGGAGAGCUCUGAUUUGGCACGUUGCAGCUAGUGCAUUGCAAAAGACAUCGGCCACACUUUGUGAGGCAAAACUACUAGAUGCAGCCACCAUUUUCUUAGCAGCUAUACAUGUACCAACAUUUCAGGGUUAUUUGGAUAUGGGCAGUACAUGGCCAGUUUAUUCAUCUAACCUUCCUAUGGUUUCUGGUCAUGGAGCAUCAUGAUCUGAGGAGUUAAUUAUAAGAGUUUUCCACCCAUUUGACAAGAUUGGGUGUGUCGGCAGAGGAGGGAGUUCCAUUAAAAUUUUGCAGGAGAUGAUUCUGUUGAAAGUGAGGACAACAUACCUGAUAUACAUGAAAAUCCUGGUCGGGGCAAACAGAAUAAACAUUCUGGAUCCCAGAAAUUGGGAAACUUUUAUGGGACUAGUGAGGAGGCAAUGGAGCCUGACAGUAGUAGUGGAGACACCUAAUUACUCAUGCAUACUGUCAUCAGAUUUUCACAGUUCUGCUUUUGAGUAUGAAGGAUGUUCCAAAUGUUGGUGAGAAGGUACGACAAUCAGGCUGUCCAGAUACAGAACUUGGUUGCAACUGCCCUAGCAAAGAAAACAAAAGGAAACCAUUCAAAACGGACCAGUUGAGAAAAGUUUAAAUGGUUCUGAUAUUUCUGCUGCUGCAAUUCAAAAUGAUGUGUCCAAUGUUGGUUUGUCAAAGGAGAUUCUAUCAGAAGCACCAGCUCCAAAAAGUAGCAGGUUGUCAUCUGAAUGAUUGGCAUUGAAAAUGGUCUCAUGUCUUAUCCUUCGCCCAAGGUAGCAUUAUUAAAACACAGGGUGAAAGGAGCUUAUGGUUCUGAAACUUACAUGGGAGAAAACCAUACCAUGUUCUGCUCCAUCUGUUAAGGGAAGUGGCAUCACUAAUUUUGACAGUGCUGUUUCAUUAUCAAUUGGUGCCAAAUUUAAUAAGUGCUGUAAGGAUGAAAUUUCUACGAAAGGUCAGGGCAUCUUAGACAUCAUGCAAGCCAACUGCAUUGGGCAGGGAACCAAAAGUGAGAUCUCAUGUUGCAUUAGCUUUGGGCCUGCUCUCGCAAGCAAGACUUACUCAUACCAUGCACUUCUAUCAUGAACUCUUGGUUGGAUUCAAGAGCACUCAUUGAGUUUAGUGUUUGACAAAGAAUGCAUUGGAUCAAAUGGACUGGGUUGAAAAGAUGAUUGAAGCAAUAGCUACUUUUGUUGAGUUCCCUUACAACCUUGAAGACCAUGCAUCAUCCACCUGGUUUGCUUUUGUUUCUCUGGCUGUAGGUUUGUUUUACUCAGUUGGUAUUGGUCUUUCUUUCAAGUUUCAUCAUUUCUGAGUCUUGAGAUCUUCCAUCCUUUGAUAGUCCAGAUGUGCAGAGUAUCAUGAAAUGCAUUCGUUUUCAUGCCAUUCAUCAUGAUGGGUUUGAAAUGCUCUUCUCAUUUUCAGCAAUUACGUAGCAUGCCCAUUUAGCCCUCAACAAGAAAGCUUUAAAGUUUUUGUCUGCAUGGGCAAGACAGAGAUGAUGUCAUGACAAUGGUUGGCUUGAUGAGUGCACAGUUUUCUAAGCCAUUGGUAGCGAGCAAAGCUACUCAUCUUGUAUGCCACAAAUUCAAAAGGUAUCUGUAUGCAAGAAGUUGGCCGAACACUUUACUGGCAGUGAGAGGCACAUGGAGUAAUUUCAGCAGGCCCAACUUCUAGAAGCAGCUUGAAGGUUGGAAAAAUCUGUUUCCAAUGGUAUACUAAAGCAUGGAAACCAGAAAUCGUUGAAGCUAUUGAUCUAGAUAUUCUUUCUCAGGUGCUGAAGUUAGGAAAUCUGGGCUAAGUUACAGAGCUUUGAGGAUGUUCUGGAUCAUGCAAUCACCUUCUGAUGGUUGCAAUCCUAAUGAAACUCUGAAUCUGUCGGUGAGACCAGAUCCCAUCGCUAUUACUGGUGAUCUCAUAGCUUGUGCUUACUUGAAUUUGUGGCAUCAAAGAAGGAGAUGAAAGUUCUAAUAUCACAUGUUGUGCUCAAAGUUUACUGCAUGAAUGACUUAUUCAUGGAAGCGAAUUUACUCCUUGAGAAAACAUGCUGAAACAGGGAUCUAUAUGGAUGGAUGUACAAGUGAGCAAAUUCGCGGACAAGUCUACUGCUGCCAUGUCAACAUUUGGUGACAUUCUGUGCGUCCAAACUGCAUGUCCUCUUUCAUCCCUUCAGGUACCAUAAUUAUGGUGAAAAUGUGGGCCAAUACCAUCAGAUUCUGGGAACUCCUUUGUCAGAAAUCGUGGCUUGUGUGGAAGACAGAUUAAUAUCACAUCCAAGGAUGAUAGUGGUGGGGCUGGAACAAGAUCACACCCUCCCAUUUCAAACCAAAACCAAGUUGGGAAGAAGAAAUACACUGGCUGACUGCUUAUAAGAGCCUUGCAGUGCAGGUGAAUCAAUCGCUAUGUUUCAUGGAGACCUGCCAUACUCUUCAAAAGAUAUCAUCAAGAAGUUGGAGAUGGAAUUAAGAUAUUUGCAGCCAAACCGGAGUCCUAAUUGGUGGAUGAAUUCAAACAGAUGCAGCCAUAAAUCCUGGGAACAGCAGAGAUCCUCUCUUGGAUUCUAAGGGAAGGAUGAGUGGAAUUGACACAGCAAUAUUUACUCAGACAGGUAGAAGCCGGUCACACACAAGCACAUACUAGUGAAUGAGUUAAAGGAGCCGGCCCCACCCAGAUGCUGGUAGCUCAAUUGUGACAUACAUUGGUGGUGAUUACAAACUUCACCAAAGGAUGCCUUUCGCUGUCGAUCUACAAGGAACACCAUUACCUGAUUGCAGCAGGUUUGGUCAAUAGAGCUGCUGAUGCUAACCUGUUAAAACUUUGAACAGGAGGCCCUGGCCAUGGCUGUCUAGUCAAGAUCAGAACCUCAAGUCUUUGUAGGUAGUUAUUUGGUGCAAAACCUUGUUGUUUUAGUUGCUGAGUAUAUGAGUGGACCGGUUGGAGAUCCAGUCAAUUGGGACAAAAGCAUGGGCAUCAAAAUGUUUGAUGGUGAUUCUUUCCACUCUGAGAAGAAUAAGAAAAGCAUUCUAGUUGAUGAUUCUUUUAUGAUUCAACCUCAGUCAAUAGUCGAUGAUCAAUCAAAUUCUCACUUUGGGACUGACAUAAGCAUGGUUGCAGACAUUGCAGGAGUUACUCAACCUCAAAGUGACACGCCAGAAUUUCACUAGAAAGGCUUGAAGUUUUUUCCUGCUCAAGAGUCGGAUGACCUUUACAUGGUGAUUGAUUGGGAUUCAGCUGCAGAGCAUGUCAUGACAUCUUGGACUCUUGAAAUGGAUUAUGCAAAUAAUAUUUCUUCAACUGAAGCUGAUAGAGGGCCCUCUGAUAUUGAAACCACUGGUUGCAUUGAUGAUGAGCUGGCUUCUAAUGGUAAGAGCAUUGGCAGUACAAACAGUGGGGCUUCUAAAGAAAAAGUUUCUAUUAAAGAAGCAAGGCCUAAAGCCUUGGGUGAACCUCUCGUGAGAAGCAGAUCUGAAAUUAUACUGAGCGUCUACAAAGGCGUAAGAGUGGAAUUUCAAGGUUUAUCGGGACAAGAGAAGUUUGAUUGGAAAUAGGUCUUGGGUAAGUUUCCUCCGUAUUCCCUAUUCUCUCAAAUUUCUCGCUGUACUUUAAUUUUCUCUUGUAUGUUUGGGUGUUAUAUGUCGAACGUAUGUGUGUACUAGGAAAAUUAAUUUUCAAUAUCUUGAUUUCUUUGUUUUCUUCUAAUGUUGAUGUUCCGUUGUCUAUUAGAAAUUUCUUUAGUUACGUGUGAAAAUAAUUUUAAUUCCAUUCAACGACAUUGUUCCUUAACAGGUAAUUCUCUUCUUCUCCUUUUUACAUUUGAUCUCUACUCCUUUCGCUACCAUCUAUAAACGUAAGGGUGGAAUUUUUCAGGUUUCCCGGGGACAAGAGAAGAUUCGUCGGAGAUACCUCUGUAGCGUAAGAGUGGAAUUUCAAGGUUUAUCGGGGACGAGAGAAGUUUGAUUGGAAAUAGGUCUUGGAAAUUUCUUUAGUUACGUGUGAAAAUAAUUUUAAUUCCAUUCAACGACAUUGUUCCUUAACAGGUAAUUCUCUUCUUCUCCUUUUUACAUUUGAUCUCUACUCCUUUCGCUACCAUCUAUAAACGUAAGGGUGGAAUUUUUCAGGUUUCCCGGGGACAAGAGAAGAUUCGUCGGAGAUACCUCUGUAGCGUAAGAGUGGAAUUUCAAGGUUUAUCGGGGACAAGAGAAGUUUGAUUGGAAAUAGGUCUUGGGUAAGUUUCCUCCGUAUUCCCUAUUCUCUCAAAUUUCUCGCUGUACUUUAAUUUUCUCUUCUAUGUUUGGGUGUUAUAUGUCGAACGUAUGUGUGUACUAGGAAAAUUAAUUUUCAAUAUCUUGAUUUCUUUGUUUUCUUCUAAUGUUGAUGUUCCGUUGUCUAUUAGAAAUUUCUUUAGUUACAUGUGAAAAUAAUUUUAAUUCCAUUCAACGACAUUGUUCCUUAACAGGUAAUUCUCUUCUUCUCCUUUUUACAUUUGAUCUCUACUCCUUUCGCUACCAUCUAUAAACGUAAGGGUGGAAUUUUUCAGGUUUCCGGGGACAAGAGAGGAUUCGUCGGAGAUACCUCUGUAGUAUGUUUAUUUGAGAUUCCCUAUUAUCCUCCAUUUCGCAGUGUUGUUCAUUCUUCUGUUUUAUCUUUGGGUGUUGUUUGUUGACUGCAAAUAUGUAUUAGAGAAUUAAUAUUCAAUCCUUUGAUUUAUUUGUUGGUUUCUGAGCUUCAUGUUGCGUUUUGUAAUGCUCGUUUAUUUCGUUUCGUAUCAGAAUAAUAUUAUUUGCUUUUAAUGAGAUUGUGCCAUAAGUUGUAAUUUUUUUAUUCUCGUUGUUACAUUUGAUCUCUGAUCCUUUCUCUACCUUCUAUAGGCGUAAGAGUGGAAUUUCAAGGUUUAUCGGGGACGAGAGAAGUUUGAUUGGAAAUAGGUCUUGGGUAAGUUUCCUCCGUAUUCCCUAUUCUCUCAAAUUUCUCGCUGUACUUUAAUUUUCUCUUGUAUGUUUGGGUGUUAUAUGUCGAACGUAUGUGUGUACUAGGAAAAUUAAUUUUCAAUAUCUUGAUUUCUUUGUUUUCUUCUAAUGUUGAUGUUCCGUUGUCUAUUAGAAAUUUCUUUAGUUACGUGUGAAAAUAAUUUUAAUUCCAUUCAACGACAUUGUUCCUUAACAGGUAAUUCUCUUCUUCUCCUUUUUACAUUUGAUCUCUACUCCUUUCGCUACCAUCUAUAAACGUAAGGGUGGAAUUUUUCAGGUUUCCCGGGGACAAGAGAGGAUUCGUCGGAGAUACCUCUGUAGCGUAAGAGUGGAAUUUCAAGGUUUAUCGGGGACGAGAGAAGUUUGAUUGGAAAUAGGUCUUGGGUAAGUUUCCUCCGUAUUCCCUAUUCUCUCAAAUUUCUCGCUGUACUUUAAUUUUCUCUUGUAUGUUUGGGUGUUAUAUGUCGAACGUAUGUGUGUAC